rnacentral:rRNA from 1 species
UGGGGAAUAUUGCGCAAUGGAGGCAACUCUGACGCAGCCAUGCCGCGUGUGUGAAGAAGGCCCUAGGGUUGUAAAGCACUUUCAAUUGGGAGAAAAAGCUUGUCGUUAAUAGCGGCAAGCCUUGAUGUUACCUUUUAGAAGAAGCACCGGCUAACUCCGUGCCAGCAGCCGCGGUAAUACGGAGGGUGCGAGCGUUAAUCGGAAUUACUGGGCGUAAAGCGCGCGUAGGCGGUUGCUUAAGUCGGAUGUGAAAGCCCCGGGCUCAACCUGGGAACUGCAUUCGAUACUGGGCGACUAGAGUACGAGAGAGGGAGGUAGAAUUCCACGUGUAGCGGUGAAAUGCGUAGAUAUGUGGAGGAAUACCGGUGGCGAAGGCGGCCUCCUGGCUCGAUACUGACGCUGAGGUGCGAAAAGCGUGGGGAGCAAAACAGGAUUAGAUACCCUGGUAGUCCAUGCCGUAAACGUUGGGCACUAGGUGUGGGUCUCAACCAACGAGAUCCGCGCCGUCGCUAACGCAUUAAGUG